CUACCAAAAGCUAUCAUUUUUUGGAGAAGGUUUUGUUAAUAACCUUUACCAACUUGGGCUGUUUGGGAGAAUAAAGAAAAAGACCACACUCCACAGUGGGCUCAUACAAUUUAGUAUAGUUCACUACUAUUUUGUGGCCUACAUU
ensembl:snoRNA